rnacentral:rRNA from 1 species
UACGGAGGGUGCGAGCGUUAAUCGGAAUGACUGGGCGUAAAGGGCACGCAGGCGGGCUUUUAAGUGAGAUGUGAAAUCCCCGGGCUUAACCUGGGAAUAGCAUUUCAGACUGGGAGUCUAGAGUACUUUAGGGAGGGGUAGAUUUCCACGUGUAGCAGUGAAAUGCGUAGAGACGUGGAGGAAUACCGAAGGCGAAGGCAGCCGCUUGGGAAUGUACUGACGCUCAUGUGCGAAAGCGUGGGGAGCAAACAGG